CCUCGUGUUGCAUCCCUCUUUUUUCGGUUUUUCUCUUUUGUUUUGUCAAAAAUGUUAUGACUCUAGAACUUUUAGCCCGUGAGGCCAAACUUGGCAUGUGAUACCUUUUCGGAAAUCCCAAAGAGAGCUCUCCGAUGAAUUAGGAAGGAAAAUGGAAUCCUUCUAUAGUUUUUUUUUCUACUCCAAAUUUUUUCCCUUAAUGUCCUUUUCCCCCCCUUUUCUUAAUCUUUGCUAUAUUACGGGCCGAAAAUUAUAUGUUCGACAUUGUUUUCGUAUAUUUUGCAUGUAUCAAAGCUCUUAUAAACAAGAUAGGGUAUUCCUACAUAGCUGGUGUGACCCACAGCAAAUUGAUCAUAAAGUCUUGAAAAAAGAAUAGAUACGAUUGUAUUGCAUGUAGUAACGGAUGCGCUCAUACCAGCAAU
rnacentral:rRNA from 1 species